GGUUUGUAUUCCUGCAGCUGUUUAUGGCACCUACCACAUCAUCAUUCAGAAAACCUAAGUCAGAGGAGGACAAUUGUAACAUCCUGAAGGUCGCCAGUCUGACGGCUAUCUCUGUGAUAUAUUGUACUUUACCAACCAUCCUACAGAUUGUUAUACAUGUUGUCCAUCGUAGUCAGAUGUUUCAUAUUUCAUUUGUUGUAAGUAGGAAAUGUUAAAUGAAUGGGAGAAGGCAGGCUUAGAUAAAGGGAAUAACUCAUUGAAAAACACUACUUUGUUAUUGUCAACCAUUUUUAUGCCCCACCCGCUUCAGGUUAAAGUUUUUGGUAAAGGUAGUUUUUUUAUGAAGUUGAAAUCCAAUCAACUGGAAACUUAUAUUCCCUAUGAUAUGAUCUUUCUAAUUUUAAUGCCAAAGUAGAUUUUUUAUGCCCAUUUCACGGCCCACUGAACAUAUAAAAUGAUUCUGCGAGUGGGGCAUCCGUGUACUUUGGACACAUUCUUGCUACAAAUUACUUUCAAAUUUUUUUUAAUUUUUUUUUAUAAAAACAGAUUAUAUUGAUUAAGUUUCAUCUUUUUUUUGCAUUCACAACAUGUUUGUCCAUCUGGUAUCAGGUUUAAGGUAGUUUACCAUUCAGAUGUAAUUUUUUUUUAAAGAUAAAUGCCAAAUAAGGAUUAUGACCCAGAUUUCUAAGUUCAUUAAACAUGGAUAGACAAUAGUGCCAGCUAGGCAUUGGAUCAAUGCACAUUUAUUCUUGUUUCUAGUUUUUGUCUUAAAAAGUUUCAACAAUUUUAACAAAUAUUACUUUCAGUUUCUACAAUAGCACAAUACACAACAGUUGUAAAAGUAAUUACAAAAACUCUUAGCAAGACUAUGGUAUUCCAAUAAUGUAAGUUAUUUUUUAUUGCUAAAUAUUUUCAGGCAUUUAAUGUCUCUAAACUAUAUUUUCAGACUGAAGUUAUUUUCCUAUCCAUGAC
rnacentral:lncRNA from 1 species